GUGAGGAAUAUUGGUCAAUGGGCGAGAGCCUGAACCAGCCAAGUCGCGUGAAGGAAGAAGGUUCUAUGGAUUGUAAACUUCUUUUGUAAGGGAAUAAAAAAGAGUACGUGUACUCUAUUGUAUGUACUUUACGAAUAAGGAUCGGCUAACUCCGUGCCAGCAGCCGCGGUAAUACGGAGGAUCCGAGCGUUAUCCGGAUUUAUUGGGUUUAAAGGGUGCGUAGGCGGACUUAUAAGUCAGCGGUGAAAGUUUGCAGCUUAACUGUAAAAUUGCCGUUGAAACUGUUAGUCUUGAGUGUAAAUGAGGUAGGCGGAAUGUGUUGUGUAGCGGUGAAAUGCUUAGAUAUAACACAGAACACCAAUUGCGAAGGCAGCUUACUGGGAUACAACUGACGCUGAGGCACGAAAGCGUGGGGAUCAAACAGGAUUAGAAACCCUGGUAGUCC
rnacentral:rRNA from 1 species